GUGCGGCGACGGUUGCAGGAUGUCAGGUGCCUCUGAUUGGCGUUUCAGAUUACUCCGCAGUUGUUUUCUCAAAUAUCAACGCGAGAGAACGCACAAAUACGUAUAUAUCUGUCAGUGCAUUGCAGGGUUACGGGGUUUCGAGGACCAGAUGGCAUUUGGUCAUAAUCCACAUGCCUUGCCUCUGCUUUGACAUCUUGCAUGCCAGUUUAGUUUGCGCCUUUCCAGAUUUUUGAUGCAGAAGAUCAUAAGAUUUCAUACUAUGGCAAGUGUAACAAGAGACCUCGGUGCAAAUGAUCUAAAAAGCUUUAUAAGACCAGUUGCCUGCAAAAAUAUUUUUAGCAAGAUCAGGAAACGCGUCUCAUUUAGUCAUCGUAGAGUGUGCAGACAGCAGAACAACUAUAAUAAUGAUGAUAUUUCUGAUGCGGAGGAAUUAGGGUUCAUAAAGGCUCACUACUAAUUAUCUUUAUCUGUGUUUUCAUCGCCCGCUUAGCAAAUAUGACUUUGCGCUUGUGAGGAUGCAUUUUGAAUUUGGCCCAGGGAACAUCUGGCUAUGAAGACCACGUGAACAGAAAUCUGGCUAUGAAGAACGCCUUAAGAUUAAAAGGGCAACUCAAUAAUCUGGCUCAAUGGUGAUCCGUAAUCCGUAAUGUGGUGGUAAUUUGGCUCAACUUCCAGUUAUAUAUGUAGGGGGGCACACAAAUGAGAAUAGAGAAGUUAUAUAGGUAGGGCCCAGAGAUUAUAUCUGUCAUAGCGAACAACAAUGCCCGAUCAUGAUAGAGAUUCUGCAGGAGCAUGCAUGGUUUAUCUUGCUGCCGCCAUGUUCUCGAGAAAAGUAGGGGGCACUCCGUUCCUCUCCGAACAACUGGAGCAUGAUGUGGUGGUUGAUAUGACCGCUAGGGAAAGCUGCUAAAGGAAUGCAGGUUGUAGUUGUUAAAAGACAAAUAGAGCAACUUCAAAGGUCUUAUCCAUCAGCUACUAAUUUAUCAAGGCAAUGUGCUGAAGGAUGACACCACAUUGGAGGAAAACAAAGUCACAGAGAAUAAUUUCCUCAUUGUUAUGUUAUGACUAAUUCCUCAACACCUAGAGGGCCAUCUGCACAUGUAUUUUUCAAUUCAAGAAAGUUUUCUCUUAACUGGCCUCAGUAACUACUCCUUCCUGGACACCAAUUCCCUUCGCAGUAGUGAGUGAAGAUAUCAAAAAGGCAUCAUCCAUUUCAAAAAUUAAAGAAUCUGAAAGAGCUACAAACAUAAAAUUCGAUGUCAAGUCACGAAGAAUUUAUAUGUGAAAAAUAGAGCAGAUAAAGAAGAUUUGUUGAGAGGCAUUAUCAUUGGCACUGGACUUGCCUCCCCUCUUCCUGUCCUUGAGAAGGCAUUGCCUACUUGCCUGUUUUCAAUACAUAAUGUUUUAAUUUCCACGGUCUUUUUCUUCUGCUAUCUAGAUGUCUUUUAUCCAAGGUUGUAUUCAAGGACUGAUAAUUAGGUAUUUUGUAGGAAAUUUUGAUUGUGUGGAGAGAGCAUGACCAGAUCUUAGUAGAUGGAUGUAAACAACUUUCUGCUGAGCAGAUAGUUGAUGUUUUGGAUUAUUAUUUUUCGGAGUAAGACAUGUGACAUUCUCUCACCGCGUUUGUUAAUUUAAACUAUAAACUUGUUAAUUUCUUAUAAACUUUGUCUCA